GGGGCUGUGGCUCAGUGUGGUAGAGCAUCUGAUUGGGAUGCAGACGGUUCCAGGUUCAAACCCUGGCAUCUCCA